rnacentral:rRNA from 1 species
AUACGGCAGCGUACACAUGCAAGUCGAGCGGUAACAGGGGUAGCUUGCUACCCGCUGACGAGCGGCGGACGGGUGAGUAAUGCAUAGGAAUCUGCCCGAUAGUGGGGGAUAACCUGGGGAAACCCAGGCUAAUACCGCAUACGUCCUACGGGAGAAAGGGGGCUCCGGCUCCCGCUAUUGGAUGAGCCUAUGUCGGAUUAGCUAGUUGGUGAGGUAAUGGCUCACCAAGGCAACGAUCCGUAGCUGGUCUGAGAGGAUGAUCAGCCACAUCGGGACUGAGACACGGCCCGAACUCCUACGGGAGGCAGCAGUGGGGAAUAUUGGACAAUGGGCGAAAGCCUGAUCCAGCCAUGCCGCGUGUGUGAAGAAGGCCUUCGGGUUGUAAAGCACUUUCAGCGAGGAAGAACGCCUAGUGGUUAAUACCCAUUAGGAAAGACAUCACUCGCAGAAGAAGCACCGGCUAACUCCGUGCCAGCAGCCGCGGUAAUACGGAGGGUGCAAGCGUUAAUCGGAAUUACUGGGCGUAAAGCGCGCGUAGGUGGCUUGAUAAGCCGGUUGUGAAAGCCCCGGGCUCAACCUGGGAACGGCAUCCGGAACUGU